GAUAACAGGGUAAUAACAUGAGAGAGUAGAUAUUGUCAAUGUUGUUUGCCACCUCGAUGUCGACUCAACCUAUCCUAUUGGUUGUAUCCGCUAAUAAGGGUUUGACUGUUCGUCAAUUAAAAGGUUACGUGAGUUGGGUAUGUAUUUGCCCGGUAAUUC
rnacentral:ncRNA from 1 species